rnacentral:RNase_P_RNA from 1 species
GCCGAAAGGCAGGCGCCUGAGGAAAGUCCGAGCACCAUAGAGCAGGGCAGCGGCUAACGGCCGCCGAAGGCGACUUCAGGGCAAGUGCAACAGAGAGAUACCGCCUCCGGCUUUACAGCCGGAGGUAAGGGUGGAAAGGUGAGGUAAGAGCUCACCGGCGCAUGGGAGACCAUGCGGCCAUGUAAACCCUACCCGGUGCAACACCGCACAGAAAACACAGCGUCUGCUCGGCGCGUUUUCAACAAGGUGGCUGGAGCUGUACUGGCAACAGGCAGCCAAGAAAGAUUGUCAUCCAAUACAGAACUCGGCUUACAGAUUUGCUC